rnacentral:rRNA from 1 species
CAAUAGCGUAUAUUAAAGUUGUUGCAGUUAAAAAGCUCGUAGUUGGAUCUCGGAUCCGGGCUCGCGGUUCGCCUUGCGGCGAUUACUGCCCGUCCCGAUCUACCCGCCGGUUUUCCCCUGGUGCUCUUGACUGAGUGUCUCGGGUGGCCGGAACGUUUACUUUGAAAAAAUUAGAGUGUUCAAAGCAGGCGCGUCGCCUGGAUAAUGGUGCAUGGAAUAAUGGAAUAGGACCUCGGUUCUAUUUUGUUGGUUUUCGGAACUCGAGGUAAUGAUUAAGAGGGACAGACGGGGGCAUUCGUAUUGCGGUGUUAGAGGUGAAAUUCUUGGAUCGCCGCAAGACGAACUACUGCGAAAGCAUUUGCCAAGAAUGUUUUCAUUAAUCAAGAACGAAAGUGAGAGGUU